rnacentral:rRNA from 1 species
GAUGAACGCUGGCGGCGUGCUUAACACAUGCAAGUCGAACGGAAAGGCCCAAGCUUGCUUGGGUACUCGAGUGGCGAACGGGUGAGUAACACGUGGGUGAUCUGCCCUGCACUUCGGGAUAAGCCUGGGAAACUGGGUCUAAUACCGGAUAGGACGAUGGUUUGGAUGCCAUUGUGGAAAGUUUUUUCGGUGUGGGAUGAGCUCGCGGCCUAUCAGCUUGUUGGUGGGGUAAUGGCCUACCAAGGCGUCGACGGGUAGCCGGCCUGAGAGGGUGUACGGCCACAUUGGGACUGAGAGACGGCCCAGACUCCUACGGGAGGCAGCAGUGGGGAAUAUUGCACAAUGGGCGCAAGCCUGAGGCAGCGACGCCGCGUGGGGGAUGACGGCCUUCGGGUUGUAAACUCCUUUCGCUAGGGACGAAGCGUUUUUGUGACGGUACCUGGAGAAGAAGCACCGGCUAACUACGUG